rnacentral:lncRNA from 13 species
ACAUAAAUGUAAUGACUGUAAACACACCGUUUAUUUCCCUUUACCCUCAUUCUAUCUAACAGACAGCAGCAUUGUCCCUGACUCCCAGCCUACCAUGAAAACAGAGAGUACUAUGUAAGUACAUGGUCUCUGUCAUUCAAAUUACAAUUGAUUUAAAAUCUGAUUUUGAAUCAGACAUGUUUACUCAUAGAGGAGCUUUGAGACCGUGUGUGCGUGCGUGCAUCUCUGUGUGUGUUCGAACAGAUUCUCCCACUGGAGGAAAGUGUCUGUAUCUGAGAUGCUGCUGCCGGUACAGAGAGGCUUCCAGAAGGCACUGCCCAAACCAGAACUUGAGAACGUAGAGCAACAGGAGCGUCCGUCAUCGGCCCAGAGAGGUUCUGGGUCGGUCCCUGGGUCAGCAGUCAGCCACAAGCAGCUCCACGCCCAGCUCACCCAGCGCCUGGAGGAGGUCCUCCGCAAGAGGGACCGGGGUACUGGGCCCGAGGAGCGAGCUGGAGUCCAGAUCAGAGUGCCUGAGGAGCGAGGUAGGCCACAGGACCGAGGGUCCCGAGAGCGAGCUGGAGCCCAGGGAGGAAGCGGGCCUGAGGAGCAAAGUGGAGCCCAGGGAGGACGAGGGCCUGAGGAGCAAGAUGGAGCCCAGGGAGGAAGAGGGCCUGAGGAGCGAGGUGAGCCCACUGGGAGAGGUGCCAAAGUGUCACGGCAGGAUGCAGGAAGGCCUGGUCAGACCAAGGGGAAACCUAAGAGCCAGAAGUCUCAGGAAACUGAAGCCACCCCAGGGAAAGCCCCUGUCAAACCCACCCCAGCUAAAGAUAUACAGGAGAGGGCAACACCUAACUCCAAGGUUAAGGCCACUGGGUCAAACUCCAGUAAAGACAAGAGAGAGGAGGUGGUGACGGGCACCAUGAUGAGGUUAAUCUCCAGCCACUACGAGAAUAGCACAUCAUCCACCACCAUUAAAUCCCCUGUAGAGUCUGUCCCUCGCUGGCCCCUUCCACCCACCAACAGGUACUGCAGCAACAGAUCUGUUUUGGAGAAGAGUUGGUUGCCGCCAUCGAUGGUGGGAAGGGCAAAAGCACCAGGAUAUAUGAAGUCCUACACUAACUCCAAGAAGCCCUCUGCAGAACAACAAGGAGAUGACGUCUUUGCGUUCAAAGUGGAUACAUCUAUGACCACUAGGGGGGAGGGGAAAAUGUCCUCGGACACCUCUGCCAUUGAUAGCAGUGCUACUCACAACUCCUGGGCAUUCCCCAGCACUGCCAAGAAGGGCCAAGCAGUCAAGUCCCAGGUAGCAGCUCCGCGGCGCCACGUGAAGAAGCACCUGUUCAGCGACACAGACACAGACGCCAUGAUGGAGAUCAGCUGGCUCAAAGAGUCCAGCAGGAAGCCCAAGCCCAAAGUGAUCGACUACAGCCGUCAGCCCCGGCUCCACCCUCCUGCCCCCAACACCACAUAUGAGUCCCCAGACUUACCACCUAGCUCACCCAAGCCUGUGAAGGAGAAAGCCAAGCCAAAGAAGAAGAGACAGAGGGUGAAGGAGAGAAGUGUAGAGCAGAAAGAGAACCGUGGAGCGGCACUGGUGGCGGCAGGGACCAGUCAAGCAGCCAGGAGGCCCCAGAGAGCCGCCGCCACCAAUGCCAAGAGCUACAGGGAGCCCGACAGCGCCAGCCAAUCAGAGACUGAAGAGCCGCCAGCUCCUAAGAAGCGCUCCAUCGGACCAGCGGAAAAGAUUGAGAAGGUUUGCCAAGAGGCUGUCGAGGUGAAGAAGAAAAAGGCAACCACCCCGGCCAAGGAACAGACGAAUGUACCGAAAGAGUCUUCUUGGGCUGCCCGGCUGGCCUCUUUCAAUCCUUCCCCGCCUGCCAUCGAGAGGAUGAGAGCUGCAUCCGAGAGGUCGCUGAUAGUCUUACCCCGGUCGCCCCUCACCCCGCAGGGCUCCCUGUCCGCCUCCCCUGCCAGCGGCCCCUCUUCACCCCUUGCCCUGGAGCUGCCCCCCGAACACCCUCGCAGCAGCGCGGGCUUCCAGCCCUCCUCCUUCUACAGCGCCCCUGGGAGGAAGAGUGACCGCAAAGCUAAGGAUCCCUCUCUCCCAUCCCUCCCCUCUCUCCCAUCCCUUACUCCCACUGGCAAGACUCCUGGCCUCCGCGCCCAGAGACCCAGUGCCUUAGAGGUAAGAUUCAAGGCUGAUACUGCACCAAUGGGCCUUCUGACACAUAAAAAUAAUACAUAA